rnacentral:rRNA from 2 species
UGCUGGAGGUAUCAGAAGUGCGAAUGCUGACAUAAGUAACGAUAAAGCGGGUGAAAAGCCCGCUCGCCGGAAGACCAAGGGUUCCUGUCCAACGUUAAUCGGGGCAGGGUGAGUCGACCCCUAAGGCGAGGCCGAAAGGCGUAGUCGAUGGGAAACAGGUUAAUAUUCCUGUACUUGGUGUUACUGCGAAGGGGGGACGGAGAAGGCUAUGUUAGCCGGGCGACGGUUGUCCCGGUUUAAGCAUGUAGGCUGGUUAUCCAGGCAAAUCCGGAUAAUCAAGGCUGAGGUGUGAUGACGAGGCACUACGGUGCUGAAGUAACAAAUGCCCUGCUUCCAGGAAAAGCCUCUAAGCAUCAGGUAACAUCAAAUCGUACCCCAAACCGACACAGGUGGUCAGGUAGAGAAUACCAAGGCGCUUGAGAGAACUCGGGUGAAGGAACUAGGCAAAAUGGUGCCGUAACUUCGGGAGAAGGCACGCUGGUGUGUAGGUGAAG